UCAAAAGUUUUUGACGUGUUAAUUUAACACGUCAAAACUUUUUGACGUGUUAAAAGAAAACACGUCAAUAAUAUUUUUUUUGACGUGUCUAAGCAGACACGUCAAAAGCU